AUUGAACGCUGGCGGCAGGCCUAACACAUGCAAGUCGAACGAGUGGCGGACGGGUGAGUAAUGUCUGGGAACCUGCCUGAUGGAGGGGGAUAACUACUGGAAACGGUAGCUAAUCCCGCCUACCAUCAGAUGUGCCCAGAUGGGAUUCGCUGGUGGGUGGGGUAACGGCUCACCAAGGCGACGCGCCCUAGCUGGUCGGAGAGGAGGACCAGCCAAACUGGAACUGAGACACGGUCCAGACUCCGACGGGAGGCAGCAGUGGGGAAUAUUGCACAAUGGGCGAAAGCCUGAUGCAGCCAUGCCGCGUGUAUGAAGAAGGCCUUCGGGUUGUAAAGUACUUUCAGCGGGGAGGCGUUACCCGCAGAAGAAGCACCGGCUAACUCCGUGCCAGCAGCCGCGGUAAUUC
rnacentral:rRNA from 1 species